rnacentral:lncRNA from 1 species
GGGGGGGGGGGCGGGGCGGGGCGGUAAGGCUCAGGCAUGGCGGGCUGCAGGUCCUGAUCCCUGCCCGGCGGGGAGGCAGCUAAGGCCUGGCGAGAAAUCGAGCACAGCAGCUGCUGGCCCAGGUGCUAAGCCCCUCACUGCCCGGGAUCGGCGGGGCUGGCCGGCAGCUCCCAGUGCGGGGCCCUCCGAGCCCACGCCCCACCGGGAACUCCCGCUGGCUCGCAAGCGCCGGGCGCAGCCCCAGUUCCCGCCCGCGCCUCUCCCUCCUCACCUCCCAGCAAGCUGAGGGAGCCGGCUCCGGCCUCGGCCAGCCCAGGAAGGGACUCCCACAGUGCAGCGGCGGGCUGAAGGGCUCCUCAAGUGCCGCCGGAGUGGGCGCCCAGGCAGAGGAGGCGCCCAGAGCGAGCGAGGACUGCGAGGACUUGCCAGCACGCUGUCACCUCUCACUUCCAGCCCCUGGCAACCACUUUUCUACUCUCUGUCUCCAGACGUUGGACUUUCAGAUCCCACAUACAAAGUCACAAAACCCAAACCGAUACCCAGAACUAGCCACAUCUCUAAGGAGCUCUCAUUCCUGUUAAUGAAGAAUGAUAUUUACAAACCAAAAUCCAGGAACUAGAAAUUGCCACAAGCACUCCAGCCUAUGGCGACCAUCACCUCCUGAUCAGUCAGCAGCCAUUAAUAUUGAGUGGUCUGGAACUGAACCUGCAAUAUCUCCAAAGUACGCCUGUACUUAGAAUCAGUCUUGGCAUUUCAGGGCAUUGUGAAUCUUCAUUUAGGUUUAGGAGCAAGAUAAUGGAAUAGAAGCCUACAACAUUUGCUCUCCGACCCCACUGGAAAACCAAAUGACUCUUGGGUUUCCUGACACCAGGCCUAGGUGGUGGGACAGCAUUUCUGGACCUGCCCUGGGAAAGAAGGGAGCUUAACAGUCCUGAAAGGACAGACUAGUUCUCCGUCCCUUGCAGCUCAUGGGCUGAGUUCUGACCAAUGGGAUGUAGACAGAGAUGAUGCGCAAUCUUGAAAGGAUUUCAAAGAGAGGCUGUUUGCUUGACUGAAGGAAGUGCCUUUUGACAGAAGAUGCAAUUUAUGUUAUAUGAAUGAUAUUUCUGAUGGCCAAAAGGACCUGUGAUAGCCUGAGAGUCAAAGACAAGCAGGAACGCAUCUGUAGUCAAACAAGGUCAGGUUUAUUUAGUGGACUGCAUCAAAUAAGAACACCCCCAAAUAGGAACUUGGGGCACCUCAGUAAUGGAGAUUUCACAGGAGUUGUUUAUAUGUUUGUGCUUGUGCUUGAUAUUCCCAAGGCAGAUAUGGAAUGAAUCCUGGCUUGGAUUGGUUCUUGUCAACAAGGAGGAGCAGGUUAGCAAUCAGAUUCUCGGUAUUCAUUGUUCAGGUGGUGCUGUAUGUCCCCUCCAAAAGCAUGUUGAAAUUUAAUUGCCAAUAUAAUUGUAUUGUGAGGUAGGACCUUUAAGAGGGGUUUGGCUCAUUGAAGCUCCACCCUCAUGAAUAGAUUAAUGUCAUUAUCGUGGGAGUGGGAUUGUUAUCAUGGGAAUGGGCUCCUGAUAAAAGAGUGGUUUCUGCCUGAUCUCCUCUUUCCCUCUCUCGCAUGCUCACUUGCCCUUCCACCAUAUUAUGAUGCAGCAGGAGGGCCCUCACCAGAUGCUGAUAACAUUUUUUUAACUUCUCAGCCCUCAAAACUGUGAAGAAUAAUUUCUUUCUUUUAUACAUCACCUAGUCUGUGCUAUUCUGUUAUAGCAGAAGACAAUAAACUAAGACAGACAUCGGGAAAACAACACGGGCUUGGGGACAUCAUUUAUAAGAAAGUGAUAAUCACUCAGAGAAAAAAAUGAUUAGUCAUAUUUUCAGCUAUAGUGUGGCCUUUUGUAUAAGCACUGUAUACAAAAAUGCUAUAUCCCAUUGGAAGCAUUUUUUUUUUUUUUUGAGAAGGAGUCUCACUCUGUAACUCAGGCUAGAGUGCAGUGGCACGAUCUCGGCUCACUGCAACCUCCUCCUCCUGGGGUCAAGCGAUUCUCCUGCCUCAGCCUCCCGAGUAGCUGGGACUACAGGUGUGCACCACCGGGCCCAGGUAAUUUUUUUGUAUUUUUGGUAGAGACAGGAUUUUACCAUGUUGGCCAGGCUGGUCUCGAACUCCUGACCUUUUCACUUUCUCAAAAAGAAUAUUGUGACACAACCAUGAAGUGAAGAGUUCUAAGAUCCAACAUAGUCUCACUGAGUUGAUGCAUGUUUUUACCUGACUUCUGAUCAUUUUAUAAACAAUUAAAAUAGUACAGCGGGACAGGACCUUAGAAAUUGUCAUUAUAUGUAUGGAGAGCCUGGAGCACAUUCCCAGGGUCUGCCAAGCAGUUUGUGCCAAAAGAAGGAUUAGGACCCAGAUCUCUGACAAUUAGACAAGGAUCCUUCACAGGACAUCUAUUUUCAUCCUGGUACACACACACACACCUGUACCAAUUUCAGGGGUAAAGUAUUUUGCAAGUGAUUUACUACUAAUAAGAGUGAAAAUACUGGAGUGAUUCUCUAUUACUGUUUUCUCACUGUAAAAAUUUCAAGCAUACAAUCAUAAUAAAGUUAUCUCUUUACUUCAAUCUCCUUUCUCAUCUCCAUAUGGAUAAAUAUGUGUAUCUGACUAUUAUAUUAAAGUAAUGAUAUAGUAGUACAUAUUGUUUUGCUGUUGGCUUUUCCCAAUUAAUAACACACUUUGGAUACUGUUCUGUGUCAGUGUCAAUAAAAUCUGUAAACAUAGAUAACAUUAUUUUAUUAUUUUACAAGGUGAAGAUGUCCUUAAUGAUAUUCAAUAUACUUUUCUACAUUUACAGACUAUGUACAUUUUGUAGAUAGAACUUUUUUAUUAAAAUUAACGUUAUUAACCAUUUAUUUAAAAUACUCACAAAUAUUUUUAUUCAAAAAUUAUCUUGAGUAGUAAGGUUAUUGAGAUGCACAAUAAAUGAGCUACGUACUGCUUAUGAGAGAUGGUAGGCCAUUCUUUCUGUGGAUCAUAAGAAAUAUUUUAAAUAAAUAAAUAGUUUGAAU